UACGGGGGGGGCGAGCGUUGUUCGGAAUUAUUGGGCGUAAAGGGCGCGUAGGCGGUGUGGCAAGUCAGGUGUGAAACCUCCAGGCUCAACUUGGAGCUUGCAUCUGAAACUGCCGUGCUAGAGUGUGGGAGAGGAGAGUGGAAUUCCUGGUGUAGUGGUGGAAUGCGUAGAUAUCGGGAGGAACACCAGUGGCGAAGGCGGUUACCUGGAGCUUUGCUGACGCUGAUGCGCGAAAGCGUGGGGAGCAAACAGG
rnacentral:rRNA from 1 species